AGGAAAAUGACCGAUUUGUGCAACUAGAACUGCCUGCUCGGUACUUUGCCUUUUCCAGAGAGCUUGCUUAGAUGGCGUCCAUCAAACUCCUGAGAUCCACAUGUCCUGUGCUAUGUCCCCUCUCUACUCCCUGGAAGUGGAAGGGCAAGACAGCAUCUACAGAAGACCACUGCAACUAUGCCUGAAACACUGUUCCUGCCGAGAGCACUUCAGGUCAUCUGCUGUGGCCUUGGAAAGCAGCUCUCCCAAAGCACAGAGUGCAUUCUAGAAGAUCGUGCAGGCAUCUCAGAGGUUAUCUGGGAAGGGGGCAAUACGACAGCAGACACACCAAGUGAUCAACUUACCUCAAAACUGGAGGAAGUAAUGUAGAAGACUCGAGGACUUUUCCUCAACUGGGGAGAUGCAAUUGUUUGGAGGCCGGCAAUAGACUUAACCCUGAGGGUCAGCGGUCUCCGGGCCUGGUGGUGUUGGUCCUAAGGGCUGCCUUCACCAGUGAGUCUCCUAGAGAAGCACAGAGAUGAGCUUGUCAUUAUGAAGGACGACCCAUCAGGUAAAUGGCAUUGCUCUAAGCUUGGUGACCUGAAUUCCAUCCCUACAACAGUGGAAGAAGACGAGUGCUGUACGCUUGUCCUCUAACCUCUGGCACACUAGAAAUGUAAUGGAGCCUUUCUGGAAGGAAGACACAAGGAUGAUGGAACCCCUGAGCUUAGAAGAUAGAGUGAUUCCCUAGGACGCAGAAAACCAUGGGUCCCCUCUCCAUAAACAAAUC